UACGAAGGGGGCUAGCGUUGUUCGGAAUUACUGGGCGUAAAGCGCACGUAGGCGGACUAUUAAGUCAGGGGUGAAAUCCCGGGGCUCAACCCCGGAACUGCCUUUGAUACUGGUAGUCUCGAGUCCGGAAGAGGUGAGUGGAAUUCCGAGUGUAGAGGUGAAAUUCGUAGAUAUUCGCAAGAACACCAGUGGCGAAGGCGGCUCACUGGCCCGGAACUGACGCUGAGGUGCGAAAGCGUGGGGAGCAAACAGG
rnacentral:rRNA from 1 species